GGAAAGGCGCGCGAUACAGGGUGACAGCCCCGUACACAAAAAUGCACAUGCUGUGAGCUCGAUGAGUAGGGCGGGACACGUGGUAUCCUGUCUGAAUAUGGGGGGACCAUCCUCCAAGGCUAAAUACUCCUGACUGACCGAUAGUGAACCAGUACCGUGAGGGAAAGGCGAAAAGAACCCCGGCGAGGGGAGUGAAAAAGAACCUGAAACCGUGUACGUACAAGCAGUGGGAGCACGCUUAGGCGUGUGACUGCGUACCUUUUGUAUAAUGGGUCAGCGACUUAUAUUCUGUAGCAAGGUUAACCGAAUAGGGGAGCCGAAGGGAAACCGAGUCUUAACUGGGCGUUAAGUUGCAGGGUAUAGACCCGAAACCCGGUGAUCUAGCCAUGGGCAGGUUGAAGGUUGGGUAACACUAACUGGAGGACCGAACCGACUAAUGUUGAAAAAUUAGCGGAUGACUUGUGGCUGGGGGUGAAAGGCCAAUCAAACCGGGAGAUAGCUGGUUCUCCCCGAAAGCUAUUUAGGUAGCGCCUCGUGAAUUCAUCUCCGGGGGUAGAGCACUGUUUCGGCAAGGGGGUCAUCCCGACUUACCAACCCGAUGCAAACUGCGAAUACCGGAGAAUGUUAUCACGGGAGACACACGGCGGGUGCUAACGUCCGUCGUGAAGAGGGAAACAACCCAGACCGCCAGCUAAGGUCCCAAAGUCAUGGUUAAGUGGGAAACGAUGUGGGAAGGCCCAGACAGCCAGGAUGUUGGCUUAGAAGCAGCCAUCAUUUAAAGAAAGCGUAAUAGCUCACUGGUCGAGUCGGCCUGCGCGGAAGAUGUAACGGGGCUAAACUAUGCACCGAAGCUGCGGCAGCGACGCUGAUGCGUUGUUGGGUAGGGGAGCGUUCUGUAAGCCUGCGAAGGU
rnacentral:rRNA from 1 species